rnacentral:rRNA from 1 species
UACAGAGGGUGCGAGCGUUGUCCGGAAUCACUGGGCGUAAAGGGCGCGUAGGCGGCUCAGUAAGGUUGCGGUGAAAGCCCGGGCUCAACCCGGGUCGGCCGUGGCAACUGCUGGGCUGGAGCACUGUAGAGGCAGGUGGAAUUCCGGGUGUAGCGGUGGAAUGCGUAGAGAUCCGGAAGAACACCGGUGGCGAAGGCGGCCUGCUGGGCAGUAGC